rnacentral:rRNA from 1 species
GGACCCGCACAAGUAGUGGAGCAUGUGGUUUAAUUCGAAGAUACGCGCAGAACCUUACCAACACUUGACAUGUUCGUCGCGACUUUAAGAGAUUAAAGUUUUCGGUUCGGCCGGACGAAACACAGGUGCUGCAUGGCUGUCGUCAGCUCGUGUCGUGAGAUGUUGGGUUAAGUCCCGCAACGAGCGCAACCCUCACUUUUAGUUGCCAUCAUUAAGUUGGGCACUCUGAAAGAACUGCCAGUGAUAAGCUGGAGGAAGGUGGGGAUGACGUCAAGUCCUCAUGGCCCUUACGUGUUGGGCUACACACGUGCUACAAUGAUAUCUACAACAGGAAGCGAGACGGCGAACGUCAAGCAAAUCCUUAAAAGAUAUCUCAGUUCGGAUUGCACUCUGCAACUCGAGUGCAUGAAGCUGGAAUUACUAGUAAUCG